GAACCUCCCGAUGAGAAUCCAUAUCCAAGUGACAAGGGUCCAGCAUCGUUCAGCAUGUAGCUGGGAUUUCCUGAGAAAUUCGGAGCUUGGAGAAGGUUGGUAGCUUCCAUGCCAUAGAAAGUCGAAAGAGCAGGAGUGGCUGCGAGUGCCAUCUUCACAAAUAUUCUUCAGGUAACCCAAAUGUAAAAAUACUCCCCUAUCUAAAUAGAGACCUUCACACAGUCAUGAAAGCUUGAUUCUUCCACAUCCGGGAGAUCUACAAAAUAAUAUU
rnacentral:lncRNA from 1 species